AUACGAAGGGGGCUAGCGUUGUUCGGAAUCACUGGGCGUAAAGCGCACGUAGGUGGACUAAUUAGUUGAGGGUGAAAUCCCGGGGCUCAACCUCGGAACUGCCUUCAAUACUGUUAGUCUAGAGUCCGAGAGAGGUGAGUGGAAUUCCUAGUGUAGAGGUGAAAUUCGUAGAUAUUAGGAAGAACACCAGUGGCGAAGGCGGCUCACUGGCUCGGUACUGACGCUGAGGUGCGAAAGCGUGGGGAGCAAACAGGAUUAGAUACCCUAGUAGUCC
rnacentral:rRNA from 1 species